rnacentral:rRNA from 1 species
UACGUAGGGGGCAAGCGUUGUCCGGAAUCAUUGGGCGUAAAGCGCGUGUAGGCGGCUUGGUAAGUCCGCUCUGAAAGCCCGGGGCUCAACCCCGGGAGGCGGGUGGAUACUGUCAAGCUCGAGUCCGGAAGAGGCGAGUGGAAUUCCUGGUGUAGCGGUGAAAUGCGCAGAUAUCAGGAGGAACACCAAUGGCGAAGGCAGCUCGCUGGGACGUGACUGACGCUGAGACGCGAAAGCGUGGGGAGCAAGCAGG